GAUCUCGAUACAGUACAUAUAUAGUGACAUGUUGGAAAACUGAAGCUUGUAGACUGUCAUGGUCAUGGAUUUGUGGAUACUUAGUAAUUUCUCAGAAAUAUUGGAAAAGUAAAGGGAAGACCGUACUGGAUUCCCCAUUCCAUGUUGUGCUUUUGCAAGUUUCCGGACCAUUCUACAGCCAUAGUAGAAUUAUCAUCAUCCUAAAGUAGAGCAGAUUCAUUCUACGCCUCACAUGAAACCAUAAUGUUGGCUGAGGAAAAUAAGAUGGAUUUACCCUUCCAUUUCAAACAUGUCACCAUCUCCACCACUGGGUGGUGGGACGAGGUACAAAGCACCACAUUCAAUUUUCCUUUAGCUGGCAUAUUAAAUACCACUUGUGAUCAUCUCACAGAAAAAAUAUACCCCGAACUCCAAGACCAACAUCUCCACGAUGCAAGCGUGGAAUAUAUGUAAUUGUUGACAAAUCUUUCAAAGAAACAGAUGGCAUGAAAGCAAAAGCACCACUAGAUCAAAGGAGUACCCUACACUGUUAUUGCAGAAACUUUUCUUUUGAUGUAAUUGAUGGCGUACUAAGAAAUUUCUAAACUUUUUGAUCAUCCCAACAGCUUCUGCUUUGGAAAUUUGCUAAACAAUGCAGAGUGCCAGAACUCUUUUGCAAGAAAUCUUUAUGAACAAUUUUAUAAUGCCAGUGAGAGUAGGUUAAUUCUAUUGAUUAGUCCAAAAUCUACAAAGGAAGUUGAGGUCAUCGAUUUUUCGCUGUCCCAGCUGCGCCUCUCGGGUGCAGUAGUAUUGGAGUGCAGUGAUGUCAUAGGAGAUGAGCCGUCAAUAAGACGGGCCGGUUGGUGCACUGUGGGCUGCUGCUUGUGGUCAAACGUGAACAGAAGA
rnacentral:lncRNA from 1 species